rnacentral:rRNA from 1 species
GAUGAACGCUGGCGGCGUGCCUAAUACAUGCAAGUCGAGCGAACGGACGAGAAGCUUGCUUUUCUGAUGUUAGCGGCGGACGGGUGAGUAACACGUGGAUAACCUACCUAUAAGAUUGGGAUAACUUCGGGAAACCGGAGCUAAUACCGGAUAAUAUUUUGAACCGCAUGGUUCAAAAGUGAAAGACGGUCUUGCUGUCACUUAUAGAUGGAUCCGCGCUGCAUUAGCUAGUUGGUAAGGUAACGGCUUACCAAGGCAACGAUGCAUAGCCGACCUGAGAGGGUGAUCGGCCACACUGGAACUGAGACACGGUCCAGACUCCUACGGGAGGCAGCAGUAGGGAAUCUUCCGCAAUGGGCGAAAGCCUGACGGAGCAACGCCGCGUGAGUGAUGAAGGUCUUCGGAUCGUAAAACUCUGUUAUUAGGGAAGAACAUAUGUGUAAGUAACUGUGCACAUCUUGACGGUACCUAAUCAGAAAGCCACGGCUAACUACGUG